rfam:Phaethon lepturus contig117301, whole genome shotgun sequence.
CUGUUCUCGUUUUGGCAACACAUAUACUAAAAUUGGAACGAUACAGAGAAGAUUAGCAUGGCCCCUGUGCAAGGACGACAUGCGAAUUCAUGCAGCAUUAUAUAUUUUU